GGCAAUUACCGUUUAUUCUGCAACAGGUCUCUCCUCGUGCGAUGUCUCACUUGAUCAUCACAGAUGAACCUGUGAGGUGAGGCAGGGUAGUCUCAUUUACAGAGAAAGAACUGGGGAUCAGAAAUAUGAAGUCGUUUGUUCAAGAUCUUACAUCCAGAUGACAUCAAAUCCACGUAUUUCCUCACCUGCCUCUUGAGCUGGAAGCAAUGUUAAAUGCUUUCCAUUUUUCUUCUCAACUCGGUUAUACUAAUUUUUACCCUCCUCUGCUCUUCACCUCUCUGUUUCUGAGGGAGUUAUACAAAUGUCACCAAGGAGUAAAUGGGGAAGGGAUAACCUCUCCUUGACCUUCGUCUGCUUUGUCCCAUGGUGGCCUCCUAUUCCCGUGUAACAGGUUUGGAGCCAGACCUCUGGUGUCAUUCACAGCUGUUUCCACUACAGACUGCCCAGGCCCUCAGCCAAACAGGACUGGACCCCAUGGAAAGCAGG